rnacentral:tRNA from 1 species
AGUUGUAUAGCUCAGUGGUAGAGCACAUGCCUUGAAUGCACGAGGUCCUGGGUUCAAUCCCCAGUGCCUCCA